rnacentral:rRNA from 1 species
GCUUAACACAUGCAAGUCGAGGGGCAGCAUUUUAGUUUGCUUGCAAACUGAAGAUGGCGACCGGCGCACGGGUGAGUAACACGUAUCCAACCUGCCGAUAACUCCGGAAUAGCCUUUCGAAAGAAAGAUUAAUACCGGAUAGCAUACGAAUAUCGCAUGAUAUUUUUAUUAAAGAAUUUCGGUUAUCGAUGGGGAUGCGUUCCAUUAGUUUGUUGGCGGGGUAACGGCCCACCAAGACUACGAUGGAUAGGGGUUCUGAGAGGAAGGUCCCCCACAUUGGAACUGAGACACGGUCCAAACUCCUACGGGAGGCAGCAGUGAGGAAUAUUGGUCAAUGGGCGAGAGCCUGAACCAGCCAAGUAGCGUGAAGGAUGAAGGCUCUAUGGGGCGUAAACUUCUUUUAUAUGGGAAUAAAGUUUUCCACGUGUGGAAUUUUGUAUGUACCAUAUGAAUAAGGAUCGGCUAACUCCGUGCCAGCAGCCGCGGUAAUACGGAGGAUCCGAGCGUUAUCCGGAUUUAUUGGGUUUAAAGGGAGCGUAGGUGGAUUGUUAAGUCAGUUGUGAAAGUUUGCGGCUCAACCGUAAAAUUGCAGUUGAAACUGGCAGUCUUGAGUACAGUAGAGGUGGGCGGAAUUCGUGGUGUAGCGGUGAAAUGCUUAGAUAUCACGAAGAACUCCGAUUGCGAAGGCAGCUCACUAGACUGUCACUGACACUGAUGCUCGAAAGUGUGGGUAUCAAACAGGAUUAGAUACCCUGGUAGUCCACACAGUAAACGAUGAAUACUCGCUGUUUGCGAUAUACAGUAAGCGGCCAAGCGAAAGCAUUAAGUAUUCCACCUGGGGAGUACGCCGGCAACGGUGAAACUCAAAGGAAUUGACGGGGGCCCGCACAAGCGGAGGAACAUGUGGUUUAAUUCGAUGAUACGCGAGGAACCUUACCCGGGCUUAAAUUGCAACAGAAUAUAUUGGAAACAGUAUAGCCGUAAGGCUGUUGUGAAGGUGCUGCAUGGUUGUCGUCAGCUCGUGCCGUGAGGUGUCGGCUUAAGUGCCAUAACGAGCGCAACCCUUAUCUUUAGUUACUAACAGGUCAUGCUGAGGACUCUAGAGAGACUGCCGUCGUAAGAUGUGAGGAAGGUGGGGACGACGUCAAAUCAGCACGGCCCUUACGUCCGGGGCUACACACGUGUUACAAUGGGGGGUACAGAAGGCGGCUACCUGGUGACAGGAUGCUAAUCCCAAAAACCUCUCUCAGUUCGGAUCGAAGUCUGCAACCCGACUUCGUGAAGCUGGAUUCGCUAGUAAUCGCGCAUCAGCCAUGGCGCGGUGAAUACGUUCCCGGGCCUUGUACACACCGCCCGUCAAGCCAUGAAAGCCGGGGGUACCUGAAGUACGUAACCGCAAGGAGCGUCCUAGGGUAAAACUGGUAAUUGGGGCUAAGUC